rnacentral:rRNA from 1 species
UACGUAGGGUGCGAGCGUUAAUCGGAAUUACUGGGCGUAAAGCGUGCGCAGGCGGUUAUGUAAGAUAGAGGCGAAAUCCCCGGGCUCAACCUGGGAACUGCCUUUGUGCCUGCAUGACUAGAGUACGGCAGAGGGGGAUGGAAUUCCGCGUGUAGCAGUGAAAUGCGUAGAUAUGCGGAGGAACACUGAUGGCGAAAGCAAUACCCUGGGCCUGUACUGACGCUCAUGCACGAAAGCGUGGGGAGCAAUCAGG